CUGGUUGAUUCUGCCAGUAGUCAUAUGCUUGUCUCAAAGAUUAAGCCAUGCAUGUCUAAGUAUAAGCAAUUAUACGGCGAAACUGCGAAUGGCUCAUUAUAUAAGUUAUCGUUUAUUUGAUAGUAUCAUAUAGCCUUCAUCCAUUCUCAAACUUUAAAUAUGUAAGAAGCCCUUGUUACUUGACUGAACGUGGGCAUUCGAAUGUAUCAGCACUAGUGGGCCAUUUUUGGUAAGCAGAACUGGCGAUGCGGGAUGAACCGAACGCGAGGUUAAGGUGCCAGAGUAGACGCUCAUCAGACACCACAAAAGGUGUUAGGGGCAUCAGUAUUCAAUUGUCAGAGGUGAAAUUCUUGGAUUUAUUGAAGACUAACUACUGCGAAAGCAUUUGCCAAGGAUGUUUUCAUUAAUCAGGAACGAAAGUUAGGGGAUCGAAGACGAUCAGAUACCGUCGUAGUCUUAACCAUAAACUAUGCCGACUAGGGAUCGGACGAUGUUAUUUUUUGACUCGUUCGGCACCUUACGAGAAAUCAAAGUGCUUGGGCUCCA
rnacentral:ncRNA from 1 species